GUAGGUGGCAAGCGUUGUCCGGAUUUACUGGGCGUAAAGAGCGCGCAGGCGGUCAGGUAAGUCGAAUGUGAAAGCCCCCGGCUCAACUGGGGAAGGUCAUUCGAUACUGCUUGACUUGAAGAUGGGAGAGGGAAGCGGAAUUUCCGGUGUAGUGGUGAAAUGCGUAGAUAUCGGAAGGAACACCAGUGGCGAAGGCGGCUUUCUGGCCCAUUCUUGACGCUGAGGCGCGAAAGCUAGGGGAGCGAACGGGGGAUUAGAUACCCCGGUAGUCCUAGCCGUAAACGAUGAACACUAGAUGUUGGUGGUAUCAACCCCCCGCCAGUGUCGUAGCUAACGCAUUAAGUGUUCCGCCUGGGGAUACGGCCGCAAGGCUA
rnacentral:rRNA from 1 species